rnacentral:rRNA from 1 species
UACGUAGGGGGCGAGCGUUGUCCGGAUUCAUUGGGCGUAAAGAGCUCGUAGGCGGCUUGGCAAGUCGGGUGUGAGAACUUCAGGCUCAACCUGGAGAUGCCACUCGAUACUGCUAUGGCUAGAGUCCGGUGGGGGACCACGGAAUUCCUGGUGUAGCGGUGAAAUGCGCAGAUAUCAGGAGGAACACCUAUAGCGAAGGCAGCUUGCUGGGACGUUACUGACGCUAAGGCGCGAAAGCGUGGGGAGCGAACAGG